GGAAAGUCAACGACGGCUCGAAGCGGAAAGGACACGGCGGAGAGAAGCAGUGGAAAGGGUGUGCGAUGAUCGAAGAAGAAGGGUUGUUAGAUGAUAUUCGUAAGAGUGUGCGAUGAUCGAAGAAGAAGGACUGUUAGAUGAUGGCGAGAGAGAUCGUGGUCUGCCUCGUCGGUGCUAUGUCUUGGCCUUCAUCGUUGGCUUCUUCAUACUCUUUGGUCUCUUCUCUUUGAUUCUUUACGGAGCUGCUAAACCUCAGAAACCGAAGAUAACUGUCAAGGUUAGUGUUCCGAUCUGAACUCUUAGAUUUUAAAUCUGAUUCAAGAAUUCGUAUUUCUCAGAUCUGAACUUUGCAGAGUAUAACAUUCGAGACGCUCAAGAUCCAAGCUGGUCAAGAUGCUGGUGGUGUAGGAACGGACAUGAUCACCAUGAACGCGACUCUGAGGAUGUUGUAUCGAAACACAGGAACUUUCUUUGGUGUGCAUGUAACUUCAACUCCAGUCGAUCUCAGUUUCUCGCAGAUGAAAAUCGGCUCUGGUUCUGUAAGUCCUAAUCAAAGUCAGUAUUAGAAUUUUUGGGUCCGGUUCGGAUGUUCUUGUCCGAUUCAAGACUUUUUAGUAGAGAAUUUUUAGACCAUCUAGGACUUGCAAGUGUUUUAGGUCAGUUUUAAGGGCAUCUCCAAUGUAACUCUAUUUUUUCCUCUAUAAUUUACACAAAAAUAGAGUAACUCUAUUAUAGUGUAACUUUUGCUCCAAUGGUGUUACUCUAUAAUAGAGUUACUCUAUUAUAGAGUGAAAUAUAGAGGAAUGUCAUAUUUUACUCUAUAUUUGGAGUGAAAAAGUGACAUUCCUCUAUAUUUCACUCUAUAAUAGAGUAACUCUAUUAUAGAGUAACACCAUUGGAGCAAAAGUUACACUAUAAUAGAGUUACUCUAUUUUUGUGUAAAUUAUAGAGGAAAAAAUAGAGUACCCUUGAAGAUGAUCUAACAAAAUUUAGAAAUUAUUUGGUGGUAAAAAUUUGUAAUUUUUAGCCAGAAUUUAGAAAUUGUUUACUACUAGAAAUAUAUCCUCUAUUUGUGAUAUUCUUUUUAGAAAAAUAAAAGAACAAUUAUUUUUUAGCUUACAUAAGUCAGAGAAAGGAUAUUGCAGUAUUGUAGAUAGCUACUGCUUUCUAUUAUUUUAACUUGAUUAUAUUUUGUGUUUGAAUAAAUUGAAACAAUGUUUCAAAUUACAUAUGUAAUACACUAAUACAACACACUUUCUUUUUGAGCAAACACUAAUACAACACACAAAUAAGAUGCAUUAUUUUGGAAAAAUAUAAAACUGCACUGAUGUGACUGAUGGAGCGUAUUUUUCUUACUAAAAGAACGUAGAAUAUUAUAAAUAUUUGUUAUUGAUCUCACUUUUGCAGGCUUUUAAAGACAUUUUAAAACCUAAGUUCAGAUUUUCUUGAUAGCAUUUUCUUUUUGAUCAAAGCUUGAUAGCAUUAAUUUUCCAACAGUUAAUGGAAGAAAUUUAUAGAUAGGGAACAAAAAGAACCCACCACCCAUGUGCGAACCUCAUCUUUCUUUCUCCUCGUUAAGAACCCAAUGGACCUUCUUCCUCCUUGAUGUGACUCUUUUCUACUUCUUUUUUAUCUAUACACAUUUCAAUUAGAACGAUGAUGUGGAAACAUGAAAAUGGAUUCGAUCAUUUAUCAAAUGUAUAUUAUGCAAUUUUAUAUUCGAUGGUAUGGGUUCAGCUGAGGGAAUAAGGCAGCAUUAAUACUUUUCGUAAUGAUCUGAUUGCUUGUGUACAAAAUUUCACUAUCAUCUAUUUCGUUUUAGCCCUUCAAAGUUAAUCCAACAAAAUCCCAGGAUUCUCAUUCACUUUUUAUAUUCUUAGAUAACUCAAAUAUUUAUGACCAAUCAAUUAAUUCUUUACUUUUAUUUCAAGUACAGUCACCAACAAUGAGAUUAAAGUAACAAGGGUUUACCAAUUGAUAAUAAUGGGUAACCCAUCAAUUAUGUGAAAUCUUUUUAGUGAAUUUGCUAGACUAAAGUAAAACGAUCUUUUUGCAUAAAUAAUGUAGACACAAAACUGUAAAAAGUUUAUGUUUCUUGCAUGUGAUUUUAUAAACAACUCGAAACCAUAUAUCAUCUAUUCUCUUUUUUUUUUUUUUUGCAAACAAAAUAAUAUCUUAUAGUUUAGCGCAUCUACUCAAAUUAUUUUCAUUCAAUACUGAAGCAAAUCGAGUUGGUCUAAACUCAAGUUGAUCUUAGAGUGAUCAAAAGAACCGAGAGAAGAAAGAUGAUGGCUCGACCAGUGUCUGCAGCUACCAUUGCUUCGGCUGGUCAGAUGAGAUAGAAGCGAGCAUAUGAAAUGUUCAUGAAUGCUUGAACCUGCAUCCCUUCUGUAAAUUUACUCUAUUCAGUACUAAAAAUUUCCUUUGUAACCUGUUCUUGGGACUUUACUAAUAUAGUAAAAGUACAUUCUCUUAAGAAAAUAACAUAACGCGCCCAAUGUUCAUGUUACAAUAUAGAGGUCUACAAGAAGCAUUACAAACAGAAGAGUGAACAAAGACGCAGAGUUCGCCUAUGGAGGAGGCCAAGUAAACCCAAGACGAGCUGCGAGCCCUGGGUUAGUCUACGACAUGGACGACAUCUCUUAUGUCCAGUUCUUAUGCGGGGAAGGCUACAACGCAACCACUCUGGCUCCAUUAGUGGGGUCCCGCUCCAUUAACUGCUCCUCCAUUGUCCCUGGAAUCGGCCAUGAUUCUCUAAACUACCCAACCAUACAACUGACGUUGAGAUCUGCCAAAGCGUCGACGAUGGCUGUGUUCAGGAGGAGAGUCACCAACGUGGGACCACCAUCGUCGGUCUACAACGCCACCGUUAGAGCACCGAAGGGAGUAGAGAUUACGGUGGAGCCAAUGAGUUUGUCGUUUACAAAGGCUUCACAGAAGAGGAGCUUCAAAGUGGUGGUGAAGGCCAAGCAAAUGACUCCAGGGAAGAUUGUGUCGGGAUUGCUCGUGUGGAAGAGCCAACGUCACUCUGUUCGAAGCCCCAUCGUUAUCUAUAGUCCUUCUUCGGAUUGAAUUGCUUGUCUUAAAAAUAUUAAUUCUUGAUUAGCUGUUUCUUGUGUUUGGUCAAAUAUCUUAAUUUCGUAUAACAGGUAAAAAAAUAAUACUCAUUAUAUAUGUUUUAAAAACAAAUUUAUUGUGAAAACUUUUUAAACAAAUAAAGUUAUUAGUUAUCUAAAUACAAUUUAAUUAACAACAAAGUUGCUUAAAUAUUGUAUUGUAAUUUUUAGAAAAACUGAUUGUCAGCUCACGAAUGAUACACCACCAUACUAUUAAAACUAUAUGAAAUAUAUAAUUUACAUGACAACAAACCUAAACUAUUAUGUGUUAUUUUGCUAACCAUUUAUGUAACUAAAAGACUUUUGGAUUUGGAAUCCAUCAGCAUCAAAUAGAGGUCUAUGUUGCAACUAUUCAUUUUAGUCCAACCUAUUACAUAUAACCAAAUAUUAUAACUAAUCCCUAAUAUAGCAACCAAAUAAUAUCUCUAACAUUUAAGUAAAUCCACUUUAACUCACUCAAUCUUUUUACAUAAGAUCUUUCAAUAUACCACACGACUAUACAAACAUUUAAUAUAAACCUUAUCAAAUGUUUCAAAUAACUCACUAAACGUUUUGCAUAAACCAACUCCCUACAAUACUUGAUAUAAACGAUAUUAAAAAAUUAACACAUAGAGGUCAUGUCAAUUAUAUAUAUAUAUAUAUCUCAUCCUCUUCCAUUAUAUCAAAUCAUUGCAAUAGGUCGGGUCCUGUUAAAAACAUAUUGAUCAAACAAUAUUCUAAUACAUCAAUGUCGUUUAUAGAAUGUCAUGACUUCAUAGAAAAUUAUCGGUUCUUUUAAAACUAAUCCGACUUCACAAUAAUAAUAUUGAUUAUUCACGAUUUUGAAAAUUAUUUUUUAGAUACUAUACUUUUAUAUACUUUUCACUUAAAAAUGGAUCUAUACUAUUAAAAUUCUUUAAAAAAAUCUACUUAAACAAGGUUGUUAGACCAUUUCAUUCGAUUUAUCUAUUUUUUUUAGUCUUACUCUAUAUUUCUCUAACUAUAUAAAUACUUUACAUAAUUUUUUUUAAAUUUAAAUGAACUCAUUUAUUAUUCUCCCAUAAUCUAUUAUAUAACUACUCUAACAAUAAAUCUUCAUUAAUAUAGGACAUAUUAUUCAAAUAUGUUUACACGUGACGUGAUCAUUACCAUAUAUAGUUCCAUUAAUAGUAUAAAUAUUUCAAUGGUUUAGUUAUGUUUAAUAUAAGUUGUAAUGGAGAAUCCUCUGGUAUGUAACAUUUUUUUCAUUUUUAGUGUGAAUUGGAAACUAAAAACCUUAAUGUCAAUUAUUCAACUAUGAAACAUUAAUUUAAUUAAUUACAUGCAAUCAAUUAUUAAGAUUUUAUCUUAAAUUCUUAUAUAUGAAAUAAAUGAUUACUCUUAUCAUAAAAAUAUUAAAUGGGUCUAAACGGGUUAGAGAUUUAAAUGGAAUUAGUAAAAAAAAAAAGACUAGUUUAAAUAGAACAUGUUUAUUUACUUUACAAAUUAUAACAACGCAUAUGAUACGUUUUAUUGAAUUUUCACAAAUGUAAAAUAUCUUGCACUUUAAAUCGGAUAGUUUAGGCCGUUUGAAAAUAAUUACAGGAAAAUAAUUCACUAUUAAUUAUUUGAAUAAAAAAUAUUCGAGUCAUUAAUUUUUUUUGUUGCAUAACUUGGUUUAUAAAUAAUAUUUUAGGAUAUUUAAUUAUUUAGAAAUUAAAUAUAAUUAAUAUAUGUAGGUAUAUAAUUUGUAUUUUAAAAAUUAAGUACUCAUUUGGUUCUCAGUUUGGUUUGUAUUUUUCGGUUUCAAAGACAUAGGAUAUGCUCGGUUAUUUAUGAAAUUCAGUUUAAUUUUGUUUUUUUUUUUCCAGUUUGUUACGGUUCAGUGCAUAUGGGUAAAUGUACCAAAACCUAUACAUUAUCUUAUAUAGAAAUUAUAUAAGAAGAAUUUAUAUAAUUUCAAAAAUAAAUCCGCGCGCGGAUCAAAAUCUAGUUAUAUAAAUAAAAUGACAUGUAUUAAGUAUGAACAAAACUUAAGUUCACCCUUAAGGUGAACCUUUAAAUUCAUUUCUCAUUUUAUUACCAAUCAAAAUGCCACAUAUAUCAAUAAUAAAAUACAUUAUUUUAAAAAAAAAAUCUAAAAUAAUUGAAAAAAAUAAAUGAGGCUCAUUUUAAUGGCUAACGCCACUAACUAAACCUUAAAUCUUAAAUUUUAAACCCUAAACCUUAAAUCUAAACCCUAAACCCUAAAUUCUAAACUCAAACUCUAAACCCUAAACCCAAACCCUAUAUCUUAAUCCAAAUCCUAAAUCCUAAAUCCAGACCGUAAACUCUAAACCCAAACCCUACACCUUAAAUUCAAACCUUAGAUCCUAAACCCAAACCUAUACUCUAGACUCAAAUCUUAAAAAACAACAUUGACCCAAAGAUUGAUCGUCUCUAGGAAAAUGAUUUUGAAUUGUUUUUCUUGCUAAUUAAUUUUUUAAAGACUAACAAUAUAAAGUCCACAACAACUAUAUAGUAGCGAACGCGUUUGGGUAAUAUUACGAAACAUAUCCUUUAACACAUUGAGUUAUCGUUACAUUAAGAGGCUUCACUUUCCUCUGUCUCCUUCUCCCUCCGUUUCAGUUCCCAGAGGAAGCUUGUUGCUUUUUUCCAGCUUCCAAAUCGGAGAUGCAUGCCAAAACCGACUCCGAGGUGACGAGCAUCGCGGCGUCGUCACCAGCCAGAUCCCCUCGCCGACCAGUCUACUAUGUCCAAUCACCGUCUCGUGACUCCCACGACGGAGAGAAAACGGCGACAUCGUUCCACUCAACUCCGGUGCUAAGUCCGAUGGGAUCUCCGCCGCAUUCUCAAUCCUCCAUGGGUCGCCACUCACGAGAGUCCUCCUCGACCCGAUUCUCCGGGUCUUUGAAACCCGGGUCUCGGAAAGUCAACGACGGCUCGAAGCGGAAAGGACACGGCGGGGAGAAGCAGUGGAAAGAGGGUGCGAUGAUCGAAGAAGAAGGGCUGUUAGAUGACGGCGAGAGAGAUCGUGGUGUGCCUCGUCGGUGCUAUGUCUUGGCCUUCAUCGUUGGCUUCUUCAUACUCUUUGGUCUCUUCUCUUUGAUUCUUUACGGAGCUGCUAAACCUCAGAAACCGAAGAUAACUGUCAAG
rnacentral:lncRNA from 1 species